rnacentral:rRNA from 1 species
AUACGGAGGGUGCAAGCGUUAUCCGGAAUCAUUGGGUUUAAAGGGUCCGUAGGCGGACUAUUAAGUCAGAGGUGAAAUCCCACAGCUCAACUGUGGAACUGCCUUUGAUACUGGUAGUCUUGAGUUAUAUGGAAGUAGAUAGAAUGUGUAGUGUAGCGGUGAAAUGCAUAGAUAUUACACAGAAUACCGAUUGCGAAGGCAGUCUACUACGUAUAUACUGACGCUAAGGGACGAAAGCGUGGGGAGCGAACAGGAUUAGAUACCCGGGUAGUCC